rnacentral:rRNA from 1 species
AAACCGGUGUAAGCCAGGUCGGUUUCUAUCCUCAAAAUUCUACUAUAGUUUCUAGUACGAAAGGACCGUUAUUAUAAAAAAUUUUUUAUUUUUUUUUGAAUAUUACU